GACUCAAGAGUUUCUUACGAGUCAGGCCUUCGUGUAGAAUAUCAGGGAAUUCGUGGCGCAAAUGGUGAAUUAGCUGCAGAGGAAGCAUUUCCCAACUGUGAAACAGUUGCUUGCCAGCAUUUCCAUACAACUUUUCAAGCUGUUGAAAGGAGGAUUGCAGAUAGAGCAGUUAUACCAAUAGAGAAUUCAAUAGGAGGAAGCAUCCAUGGAAAGUACAACCUGUUGCUUCGCCAC